rnacentral:rRNA from 1 species
AGCCCGCUCAGAAACUUAAAGGAAUUGACGGGGGCCCGCACAAGCAGCGGAGCGUGUGGUUUAAUUCGAUGCGACGCGAAGAACCUUACCCAGGAUUGACAUCCACGUAGUAGUGAAGCGAAAGCGGAACGACCCUUCGGGGAGCGUGGACAGGUGCUGCAUGGCUGUCGUCAGCUCGUGUCGUGAGAUGUUGGGUUAAGUCCCGCAACGAGCGCAACCCUUGUCGCUAGUUACACGUGUCUAGCGAGACUGCCGAUAUCAAGUUGGAGGAAGGUGGGGAUGACGUCAAGUCAGCAUGGCCUUUAUGUCCGGGGCUACACACACGCUACAAUGGUCGGUACAAUGGGUUGCUAAGCCGCGAGGUGGAGCCAAUCCCCCAAAGCCGGCCUCAGUUCAGAUUGCAGGCUGCAACUCGCCUGCAUGAAGCUGGAGUUGCUAGUAAACGCGCGUCAGCUAUAGUGCGUUGAAUACGUUCUCGGGCCUU